GACGAACGCUGGCGGCGUGCCUAAUACAUGCAAGUGGGACGCAAGGGAACACACUGUGCUUGCACACCGUGUUUUCUUGAGUCGCGAACGGGUGAGUAACGCGUAGGUAACCUGCCUAUUAGCGGGGGAUAACUAUUGGAAACGAUAGCUAAUACCGCAUAAUAUUAAUUAUUGCAUGAUAAUUGAUUGAAAGAUGCAAGCGCAUCACUAGUAGAUGGACCUGCGUUGUAUUAGCUAGUUGGUAAGGUAAGAGCUUACCAAGGCGACGAUACAUAGCCGACCUGAGAGGGUGAUCGGCCACACUGGGACUGAGACACGGCCCAGACUCCUACGGGAGGCAGCAGUAGGGAAUCUUCGGCAAUGGACGGAAGUCUGACCGAGCAACGCCGCGUGAGUGAAGAAGGUUUUCGGAUCGUA
rnacentral:rRNA from 1 species